rnacentral:rRNA from 1 species
AGUGAACGCUGGCGGUAGGCCUAACACAUGCAAGUCGAACGGCAGCACAGUAAGAGCUUGCUCUUACGGGUGGCGAGUGGCGGACGGGUGAGGAAUACAUCGGAAUCUACUUUUUCGUGGGGGAUAACGUAGGGAAACUUACGCUAAUACCGCAUACGACCUACGGGUGAAAGCAGGGGGUCUUCGGACCUUGCGCGAUUGAAUGAGCCGAUGUCGGAUUAGCUAGUUGGCGGGGUAAAGGCCCACCAAAGCGACGAUCCGUAGCUGGUCUGAGAGGAUGAUCAGCCACACUGGAACUGAGACACGGUCCAGACGCCUAAGGGAGGCAGCAGUGGGGAAUAUUGGACAAUGGGCGCAAGCCUGAUCCAGCCAUACCGCGUGGGUGAAGAAGGCCUUCGGGUUGUAAAGCCCUUUUGUUGGGAAAGAAAAGCAGCAGGUUAAUACCCCGCUGUUCUGACGGUACCCAAAGAAUAAGCACCGGCUAACUUCGUG